rnacentral:rRNA from 1 species
CCAGCAGCUGCGGUAAUUCCAGCUCCAAUAGCGUAUAUUAAAGUUGUUGCAGUUAAAAAGCUCGUAGUUGGAUUUGUGGUGUGUCCUGCCGGUCUGGAGGCUUUGCCUCUGGUUACUGUGCGGGUCUGCCUUUUUUGGGUGGAACCUGUGUGGCAUUAGGUUGUCGUGCAGGGGAUGCCCAUCGUUUACUGUGAAAAAAUUAGAGUGUUCAAAGCAGGCUUAUGCCGUUGAAUAUAUUAGCAUGGAAUAAUGAUAUAGGACCUUGGUACUAUUUUGUUGGUUUGCGCACUGAGGUAAUGAUUAAUAGGGACAGUUGGGGGUAUUCGUAUUCCAUUGUCAGAGGUGAAAUUCUUGGAUUUUUGGAAGACGAACUACUGCGAAAGCAUUUACCAAGGAUGUU